rnacentral:misc_RNA from 1 species
GAAAUGCGAUAAGUAAUGCGAAUUGCAGAAUUUCCGUGAGUCAUCGAAUCUUUGAACGCACAUUGCGCCCCUUGGUAUUCCUUGGAGCAUGCCUGUUUGAGUAUCAUGAAAUCUUCAAAGUAAAUCUUUUGUUAACUCAAUUGGUUUCUACUUUGGUAUUGGAGGUCUUUGCAGCUUCACACCUGCUCCUCUUUGUUCAUUAGCUGGAUCUCAGUGUUAUGCUUGGUUCCACUCGGCGUGAUAAGUUAUCUAUCGCUGAGGACACUGUAAAAGGUGGCCAAGGUAAAUGCAGAUGAACCGCUUCUAAUAGUCCAUUGACUUGGACAAUACUUUUAUGAUCUGAUCUCAAAUCAGGUAGGACUACCCGCUGAACUUAAGC